GUGCCUGUAGUUCAGUUGGAUAGAACGGUGGACUCCGGAUCCACUGGUGGGGAGUUCGAGUCUCCCCAGGCACACCA
rnacentral:tRNA from 2 species